rnacentral:rRNA from 1 species
GACGAACGCUGGCGGCGUGCUUAACACAUGCAAGUCGAACGGUGAUGGGUGCUUGCACCUUGAUCAGUGGCGAACGGGUGAGUAACACGUGAGCAACCUGCCCCCGACUCUGGGAUAACCCCGGGAAACCGGAGCUAAUACUGGAUAUGAGACGUACAGGCAUCUGUCGCGUCUGGAAAGAAUUUCGGUCGGGGAUGGGCUCGCGGCCUAUCAGCUUGUUGGUGGGGUAAUGGCCUACCAAGGCGACGACGGGUAGCCGGCCUGAGAGGGCGACCGGCCACACUGGUACUGGGACACGGCCCAGACUCCUACGGGAGGCAGCAGUGGGGAAUAUUGCACAAUGGGCGCAAGCCUGAUGCAGCGACGCCGCGUGAGGGAUGACGGCCUUCGGGUUGUAAACCUCUUUCAGCAGGGAAGAAGCGCAAGUGACGGUACCUGCAGAAGAAGCGCCGGCUAACUACGUGCCAGCAGCCGCCGUAAUAC